AUGCCGGGGAGGAGGUGGAGGGAGGGAAGGGGGGGGGGGGGGGGGGAGGGGGGGGGGGGAGUUAAGGAAGGGGGGCCGAGGGGCACCCGGUUGACUUUCAAGAAACAGGAAACCGAGAAAAAAUUUGCAAAACGGUCAAAAAACUCUCGCGGAACAACAACACGAGAGCGGCCAAUGCGUGAGACUCCGUGGAGCCGAACCCCGUCCCGAGCUCCGGGACACACACAGCACUCGGGGCCGAGCACAGGGACACCCCCGCAGUGCUCAGUACCGAGCUCCGAGACCCCUCACAACCCUCAGAACCGAACACCGCGACCCCCACCGCCCUUAACACCGAGUUCUGGGCACCCCCGACGGCCGGUACCGCGACCCCGAGCGGUACCGGUAGCUCUGCCCGCCCGCAGCCCCGACGGCUCCGCUCCCCGCGGAAUCCCCGCUGCACCGAUCCCGGUUCCCCCCCGUCGGUUCCGGCCGCCCGGGCCCCGCGGUGCCGAACUCCAAAGUUCCGUCCCCGUUUCUCAGCCCGCUCCGCUCCCCCCGCUGCACUCCCGAGUUCCGGACCCUCCCGGCGGCUCCACGCUCCGCUUCCCUCGGACCCCCCGCCGCCUCCGAUGGAAGCACCGCCUCGCCCCGCCGCUCCGAGCCGAGCUGCCGGCAAACUUCGUGCCGGAGCCGGGCCGGGGCCCUCACCUCGCGUCGGAGCGGGCAGCAGGGCCAGCAGGAGCCCGGUGGCCAAGAGCCGUUUCAUCCCUCUGUGUUCCCACCGCUCACAGCCGCAUAGAUCCGGAGGCCGCCGGCCGAACCGGCUCGAACCGAGCGGAACCGAACGGAACCGGAGCCGUGCGGCGCGAGCCGGGAGCCCCGAACACACCGCGCCCCAAACGCCGAGAGAAACGACUCCGAGCGCCGGCGCCUCCCGCGGCCGCUCAGCCCCCGCGGGCCGGGCCGGGCCGGGCGGAGGGCGGAGGGGGGGCGGGACGGAGCGGGGCGGGACGGCGAGGAGCGGAGCGGGAUGGGACGGAGCGGGACGCCCCUCCCUGCACGGCGUGGGGGGCAGCGCUGGGAGCCCACCCUGAGCCCACCCUCCCCACGGCCACAAAGCAGCUCCGGACGCUGCAGUGCGGUCGUCCCCGCGGCUCCGGUGCGGUCCCGGAUAGUUCUGUAUACACAUCCAUGGCUCCUUGCAGCUCCGAGCGCUGCUUUGCAGCCCCUGGGUAG
rnacentral:lncRNA from 1 species